CUUCCGCUCUGUCAGUUACCUUGGACCCUCGGACCGGAAGCAGAUGAUCCUCCCCGGCCCGCAGGUCAGAGGCGGUGCGAGCCUGAGCUAGGGCUGCACGCCCGCGCCUGCGCAGUCCACACUUCCGGCACCCAGGCGCGCAUUUUCUCCUCUCCCGCCGCUGUAGCCAGAAGGGUGAGCCUUCCCAUACGCUCAUUACGUUCUGUCGUUCCAGGUGCCGUUACUCAUUCCGUGCCUACGACCUGUGCCAUCCGCAUGUGGAAAAAGCAUUGAUUGCUCAUUUUUGUCUACGUUCAGAAAGGGACGAGUGCUAAAGUUUCCUCCAGGACAUGCUUACAUGUCGACGUUGUUCGGUCCGUGACUAGAUCCCAAGUCUCUGGGGUCCUCUAUUCUACCGGCUGAUGGUGGAGCAUGUCUUAACUGCGUGUGUUGCCGCCUCGCCCCUCCUUCUGCGACAGUAGGCGUUGGUUGGCAGAUGGACGUCAGGGAUGGAGUCAAGGGUAGGUCAUCCUUAGAGGCCAUCACGAGCCAUCCUCUGCGCCGACUGGUCUGCUUGGGCAGGUGCACGCAGCAAAAAGUCCCAGGAAAUUCUCAGGAAACCUGAGCAAAGUCACAUGGCCAAAUAAGAUAACGCAAGCAUGGGAGAACAUCUUGCCAAUACUUUAUUUGGCACUUCCUUUAGCUCUGUGUAAACACAUUUUAAUUUCUGCAUUUGAGCAAAGAUCUGGGUCACUCUGGGCUUAUUUUGUAGAGGAAGAAAGCUUUACCUCAUAAAAAGCCCACUUGCAAGCUUCUCUCUCUCCGUUUUUUUCCUAGGUGUAGGUUCAUGACAGUUUAUCCUUUUUUCUCUCUUUCCCCUUUCCUCUGAAAGAAAACCUAACAUCUACUUUAUAUAUAAUUGAUGACAAUUCUGGUACAGGAGUUUGACAUAUGUUCCUACUGAAAGGGUCAUGGCUUUACUUUAUUUUCGAUCUGCAAUAAGCACUCAAAUCAUUAGUCAAGGAUUUGUUUUUGUUUUUGUUUUUCUCUAUGAGACAGUGAGUCCUAAGGAUGAGACCAGCCAGUUUGUUUCUGUUCUGAGGGGCUUCUAGCAUCAUCCUGUCUGAAAUACUUCACAUUAAGUCUGACUGUAGUAGGGUCAGCUAUCUGAUAUACAUAAUUAAUCUCAGAGUUCAAAAGAAGUGAGAAUUUCGGUGGGAAGUUUUCACAUCUGGAGUUCUCCUUGCUGAUUUUUGCAAUCCAAAUCCUGAUGGUUGAUUGCCAAACCUCUAUCAUCAUAAACUGGGCCCAGCACAAGGAAAAUAAAGGUUUUAUUAGGGGGCGGGUGGAUCACUUUGUCACAGGAUAGAUAGUACUGAUUAUAUUUCCUUAAAAAAAGCAACAUAUAACUAUUCAUGUAAAAAGUCAGAAGGAUAUAUAAACUAAGUGACAAAAGGGAAUUAUUUAUGAAAGAGAAGGUUAUGGUUUUUAUUUUCUUUCUUUGGUUUGGUUCUUAUAAUUUUUUUCUGCAAUACCUGUUAUUGUUUAAUUAAAAGUAAGUUUUUAAAAGUAGAGUGUUAUACAUAAUUUCAGUUAGUUAAAGGUAGACAUUUUAAUGAGAAGAUUAUUUUCACUUAAGGAGAAAAUUAUUGUGCUUGAUUAUUGUUAAGCAUGUGUUGAUUACAAUAAGGAAAGAAUGAAAUGCACUUGACCUUCGUGUCCAACAAACCUGAGUUUCAAAGCCUGGAGGUAUGUCACUGAUGGCGACUGCCAGAGAAAAUACAGCGCAUCAAGUGAAAUUUGAACUUCCGAUCCCAGUGGAUUUUUUUUUUAAUAUAAGUAUGUUCCAGAUAUCUUACGGAACACAUAAAAAAAAUCAUUGGUUAUCCAUCUGAAAUUCAGAGUUAAUUUGAAUUUUUUUAUGUUUAUUUACAGAAACUAGAAACCCCAAUAACUGGGUAGGUUAAUCUCUGUCUGGGUCUUAGUGUCCUCAUAUGUCACAUGAAUGGAGUCACCUACAUCAUUGGCUCUGCUCUGAGGAUUACAGGGAAGAAAACAUCAGGGAGAGAUUUUCUGUGACGUUAAUGAAGCUUAGGCUCCGCCUUACUGGAGCUGACUGUGUGCAUGAUCCUGUGCCUGAUUUUAUAUUCAUAAUUUUCUUAAAGCCCACCCCCCCCCCGCCCCAAUUAUAUAAGCCGUGGGGCGCUGUGCGUUUUCAUCUUCCCUUGGCGAAAUACUCAUGUCUACGCAGCAGCUUGCACAGAGUGGGCAUUCAGUGAGAGGCAGUCUCUGUUCCUCAUGGCAGGCAGGCUAUGAAGCGGAGUCCUCUGUUGUAAAUAGGACAGGUGACCGCCAACAACUGAGCUCAAAUUGCCCUUCUGUGCCUCUGAGUUGCAAAGGGCCAUCCUCUGGAAGUCAAGGACAAACCGCCUCAUCUCCCCACAUCCCUGACCCCUUCUCAUAUCGCUCCGAAUGAGGAAGCGUGGAAGUUUCCAGAAAUCCAGGAACUCGGGGCUCCUAUUGGGCGGCAGCUCUGGAGGGCCUGUGGACAGUAAGCGGUGAGCCGACUGGUUGGUGCAGGCGGGAUUCCUCUGAAGGGUGUGCAGCCCGGGUGGGCCGGGGCCCCUGGCGGAAAACGCUACUCCCUGCCGUGCACGGACCGCCGGUCUCCAUCCAGCUCACCGGACCUGAGCGCACACACUCGGAGCUGGCACCUCAGGGUCGCGAAUCACCGCAAGCGCACGUCAAAUACCAUAAAGACAUCCCCCCCCCCCGCCUUCAACGCUGUCAUUCGUCUCACCUGCUCAGAAGUCCCCAUCCCCACUCGCAGACCACCAAGCACUCGGUGUCCGAGUGGCUCGUCCCGUGCCCUCCGUGGCCCUAGCGUGCUUUUGAGCUGUGCUUGCCCGGAUUAUAAGGACGAUCUGUUUGCGACUUGCUACCCACACGUGGCAUGUCUGGGAAGACCCCAGGACCAGCAUGGUGGGCACCAGCCUCACCUCACCUGACUGUUCCUUCCCCGGCUUAUCUGUCUUUCCCCUUGCUUGAGUUUCCACAGAUUGGUCUGUUUUUCUUCCGUCGAUAUGUAUAUAGUUCUGGAAACCACCUCAAGUUCUGUCUUCAAAGGAGAAGUGUUACAUAAAUGCAUCACUAAACAAACAUUUAUUUAGUGGCACUGAGGGAACAUUCUGGUCAAACCUUUGGUCAGGACUUAUGUGAAUCAAGACCGUUAAAGGCCUGACUUUCUUAAUGUUUUUUAUUCCCUCCUCUCCUGCGGGGUCGCAGAUGGUCAGUGACAUAUUUGCACGAACUCUCAUUUAAGAAGACUAUGGUGUGCAGCUGUGUAGGAGGUAAACAAGAAGGUAAAAUUUGGCUGGAUUCAGUUUGGCACUCGUGACCAAGAUGGAAUUUGAGUGUUAUUUGAAGGGAUGAAUUUUGGUUUAUGAGGUAUGAAGUAGGUAAAGAAAAUGUUUUCUUUUCGGCUCU